rnacentral:rRNA from 1 species
UACAGAGGGGCAAGCGUUGUUCGGAAUUACUGGGCGUAAAGGGCGCGUAGGCGGCCUUCUAAGUCGAACGUGAAAUCCCCGGGCUCAACCCGGGAACUGCGUCCGAUACUGGAAGGCUUGAAUCCGGGAGAGGGAUGCGGAAUUCCAGGUGUAGCGGUGAAAUGCGUAGAUAUCUGGAGGAACACCGGUGGCGAAGGCGGCAUCCUGGACCGGUAUUGACGCUGAGGCGCGAAAGCCAGGGAGCAAAGCGGG